AGAGUUUGAUCCUGGCUCAGGACGAACGCUGGCGGCGUGCUUAACACAUGCGAGUCGAACGGUGAACCCCUUCGGGGGGAAUCAGUGGCGAACGGGUGAGUAACACGUGAGCAACCUGCCCCUGACUCUGGGAUAACCCCGGGAAACCGGAGCUAAUACCGGAUACGAGACGCUUGGGCAUCCGAGCGCCUGGAAAGAUUUAUCGGUCAGGGAUGGGCUCGCGGCCUAUCAGCUAGUUGGUGAGGUAACGGCCCACCAAGGCGACGACGGGUAGCCGGCCUGAGAGGGCGACCGGCCACACUGGGACUGAGACACGGCCCAGACUCCUACGGGAGGCAGCAGUGGGAAUAUUGCGCAAUGGGCGAAAGCCUGACGCAGCGACGCCGCGUGAGGGAUGAAGGCCUUCGGGUUGUAAACCUCUUUCAGCAGGGAAGAAGCGAAAGUGACGGUACCUGCAGAAGAAGCACCGGCUAACUACGUGCCAGCAGCCGCGGUAAUACGUAGGGUGCAAGCGUUGUCCGGAAUUAUUGGGCGUAAAGAGCUCGUAGGCGGUUUGCCACGUCUGCUGUGAAAACUCGGGGCUCAACCCCGGGCCUGCAGUGGGUACGGGCAAACUAGAGUGCGGUAGGGGAGACUGGAAUUCCUGGUGUAGCGGUGAAAUGCGCAGAUAUCAGGAGGAACACCGGUGGCGAAGGCGGGUCUCUGGGCCGUAACUGACGCUGAGGAGCGAAAGCGUGGGGAGCGAACAGGAUUAGAUACCCUGGUAGUCCACGCCGUAAACGUUGGGCGCUAGGUGUGGGGCUCUUUCCACGAGUUCCGUGCCGCAGCUAACGCAUUAAGCGCCCCGCCUGGGGAGUACGGCCGCAAGGCUAAAACUCAAAGGAAUUGACGGGGGCCCGCACAAGCGGCGGAGCAUGCGGAUUAAUUCGAUGCAACGCGAAGAACCUUACCAAGGCUUGGCAUGGGCAGAAAUCCGGUAGAGAUAUCGGGUCCGUAAGGGCUGCUCACAGGUGGUGCAUGGUUGUCGUCAGCUCGUGUCGUGAGAUGUUGGGUUAAGUCCCGCAACGAGCGCAACCCUUGUUCCAUGUUGCCAGCGCGUAAUGGCGGGGACUCAUGGGAGACUGCCGGGGUCAACUCGGAGGAAGGUAGGGAUGAGGUCAAAUCAUCAUGCCCCUUAUGUCUUGGGCUUCACGCAUGCUACAAUGGCCAGUACAAAGGGCUGCGAGACCGUAAGGUGGAGCGAAUCCCAAAAAGCUGGUCUCAGUUCGGAUCGGGGUCAGCAACUCGACCCCGUGAAGUCGGAGUCGCUAGUAAUCGCAGAUCAGCAACGCUGCGGUGAAUACGUUCCCGGGCCUUGUACACACCGCCCGUCACGCCACGAAAGUCGGUAACACCCGAAGCCGGUGGCCCAACCCUUGUGGAGGGAGCCGUCGAAGGUGGGACUGGCGAUUGGGACGAAGUCGUAACAAGGUA
rnacentral:rRNA from 1 species